CUUCAAGUAUAGAAGAGACACUGUGAAAUCCUCUGCUCAGAGAGAAUAAACCUCAACAACGCUGUGAGCAUCUACCAAACUUCCAAAGUGUGUGAGGCGGUGGAGCUGGCAGUGUUCUGUGAAGGCUUCUUCCUGCAGAACAUGGUUGAUCUUCUGGACUGUGAGCAGUUUGAGGAGCUGCUGCUGGAUCCAGAUGCUCUGGAUGGUCUUCUGGCUACACUGGCCUCACGGCUGCACUCACUUUGUGGGCCGCGUCGAGCUUGAGCACAUGAAAACCAACAAAGCUCAGAUGUGCAGGCAGGCGUGUGAUGUCCCAUACAAACUCAGUGUUUAUAUGUUCGUUAACCUCCGUAAUUCCUAUUUUGAGUCAAUCACAAUGAUUUAAUAGGAUGUGUGAACUAUUUAUUACUUUUCAAGACGUAAA